rnacentral:rRNA from 1 species
GAUGAACGCUGGCGGCGUGCCUAAUACAUGCAAGUCGAGCGAACAGACGAGGAGCUUGCUCCUCUGACGUUAGCGGCAGACGGGUGAAUAACACGUGGAUAACCUACCUAUAAUACUGGUAUAACUUCGGGAAACCGGAUCUAAUACCGGAUAAUAUAUUGAAGCGCAUGGGUCGAUAGAGAAAGACGGUUUUUCGGUCACGUAUAGAGGGAUCCGCGCCGCUUUAGCUAGUUGGUAAUGUAACGGCUUGCGAAGGCAACGAUGCGUAGCCGACCGGAGAGGGUGUUCGGCGACACUGAAACUGAGAGACCGCACAGACUCCUACGGGCGGCAGCAGCAGCGACUCUUCCGCAAUGGGCGAAAGCAUGAAGGAGCAACGCAGCGUGAGUGAUGCAGGUCUUCGGAUCGUAAAACUCUGUUAUUAGUGAAGACCAAAUGUGUAAGUAACUAUGCGCGUCUGGCCGGUACCUAAUAAGAAAGCCCCGCUUAACUCCGU